rnacentral:rRNA from 1 species
UACAGAGGGCUCAAGCGUUGUUCGGAUUCAUUGGGCGUAAAGGGUGCGUAGGCGGCGCGGUAAGUCGGGUGUGAAAUCUCGGAGCUUAACUCCGAAACUGCAUUCGAUACUGCCGUGCUUGAGGACUGGAGAGGAGACUGGAAUUUACGGUGUAGCGGUGAAAUGCGUAGAUAUCGUAAGGAAGACCAGUGGCGAAGGCGGGUCUCUGGACAGUUCCUGACGCUGAGGCACGAAGGUCAGGGGAGCAAACGGG